rnacentral:rRNA from 1 species
CCUACGGGCGGCAGCAGUGAGGAAUAUUGGUCAAUGGCCGUAAGGCUGAACCAGCCCAGUCGCGUGAAGGAAGAAGGAUCUAUGGUUUGUAAACUUCUUUUAUAGGGGAAUAAAGGUAUCCACGUGUGGAUAUUUUCAUGUACCCUAUGAAUAAGCAUCGGCUAACUCCGUGCCAGCCGCCGCGGUAAUACGGAGGAUGUGAGCGUUCUCCGGAUUUAUUGGGUUUAAAGGGUUCCUAGGUUGUUUUUUAAGUCAGCGGUGAAAGUUUGUGGCUCAACCAUAAAAUUGCCGUUGAAACUGGAAGACUUGAGUGUGUUUGAGGUAGGCGGAAUGCGUGGUGUAGCGGUGAAAUGCAUAGAUAUCACGAAGAACUCCGAUUGCGAAGGCAGCUUACUAAGCCAUAACUGACACUGAAGCACGAAAGCGUGGGGAUCAAACAGGAUUAGAUAUCCGAGUAGUC